CACAGAUCUGACAUGAUCUAAUCGAGUCUGAAAGAGACUGUGGAUGAAACCAUUCAGUCUGACUCUACUCAGAGUGAACACUUGAACAAUGAAUCUUCAUUCACUUAUUCUGCUCUGUGUCUCAGCAGCUGCUGUCUUUGGAAAUACCAUCAAACCAGACACAACAGAUGUUGGUGCUGAUGAGGGACAAAAUGUUAAGUUGUCCUGUAAUUAUUCCUCCACUGGACGUUCAGAUGAUCUCUUCUAGUACCGUCAGUAUGGAAGAUCAAAACCUGAAUUUCUUGUUUCCACCUUAAGUACUGCAACAGGUCCUGAAGUAUCUAAAGUAGAUUCAAGAUUCUCUGUUAAAGU